rnacentral:lncRNA from 1 species
CAAAGUCUGCCUUUGGUUACCAUGGUUACCAACUGGAGGGUAGCCGCAUAUGAUACAUAAAGGAGUCAGGACAUGAGGUCAUUACAGAGAGUGAGCAGUAGUAUGAAGAAAAUAAAACUCAUAGAUGCGUGAAGAGUAAGUUGGGAGAGGUGGGGUAAUUCUACACUGGAUGGUCCUGAAGGUUUCUCCAAGGAGGAAGUGAAUGUAAACCCAUGUAGCCCAGCGCCUGGCAGGAGUUAAGAGCACCACAAAUGCUGUUCCAUUAAAAUAUGUAUAUAUACAAUUAUUUAUGUCUGGGACAGCCAGUGGAGUUUGCAAGCUGAUAUUCUGGCGUUAUGAUCAUCUCCCCGGCCCUCUUUUCUUCAGCCUCCAAGCAACGGAGCAAACAGUAAAGCAAAGUACUUGGAGAGAAGGCUUUGUCAUUCUUCAGGAGGCUUCACAGGAAGAGGUUUCCUUCCCGGAUUCUGUGAUAUGCUGUGAUUCCCUAUGCUGUGAUUCCCUGGGUGUAAACAGAAGGGAGUUGAAAUGGACUCAUUCGGUGAUCGUGAAUAGUGAUUCCUAA